rnacentral:rRNA from 1 species
UACAGAGGUCCCGAGCGUUGUUCGGAUUUACUGGGCGUAAAGGGCGCGUAGGCGGCAAUUCAAGUCAUCUGUGAAAUCUCCGGGCUUAACUCGGAAUGGUCAGGUGAUACUGCUUUGCUAGAGUGCAGAAGGGGCAAUCGGAAUUCUUGGUGUAGCGGUGAAAUGCGUAGAUAUCAAGAGGAACACCUGAGGUGAAGACGGGUUGCUGGGCUGACACGUGACGCUGAGGCGCGAAAGCUAGGGGAGCAAACGGG